GAAGAAGAGGGAGGGAGGGCCUUUCAGGGGAGGCCACAAAAAGUGAAGUGAGUUACAUUCUUGGAUCGGCCAGCACUGAGGAAGUGCAGGAUUUGAACUGAGGGACUCGGCAGGACCCUGGCUCUGAACAACUAUGCCAGGAAUUUCCAAGUGCUGACAGAACAAUGUCCGCCUAAAGUUAUCCACACCUCAGUCUCCAGAACCCAAUACUUUAGAUGUAGAGAGACUGCAGCUGUGAUCAAGCUGUGAGUCUGGAGAUCAGGGCUCAUCCAAAGUAGACACAGGGGGGUUUAUAAAUAGAAGGGAGGAGGGCCAGUCACGUCAGAGGCGUGACAGUGGAAGCAGGCACCAGAUACAGCUUCUGAAAGGAGGCUGUUAGCCAAGGGAUGUUAGCAGCCUAGAGCUGGAAAAGGAGGGAUAGAUUAUGUGAUAGAUAUCCCAGAAGGGUCUUCACACUGGCUGGUGUGGCACAUUGAUUUUAGAUUGGGAGGAGCUGGCACCGAUCUCCACAACUGUAACCUUGUUGCUCUAAGCCUCAGCAGUUCCUGGCAGUUUGUUACAGUAGCCAUGGGGAAUGAAUAUAUCUAGCACUCUCAGCUGUACAGGCCAAUGCUGAUUUCACCAGCCCUUCUGCUGACUGUCCACUGUCCGCUGUAAAGCUCUUCUCUCAAGAGACACCAGGAUAUAGCCUGAACCACUGAUUUAGAAAGAGGGGCAUAAACCCCAGCGUGCUGGCACACUCCCGUAAUCCCUGCAAUGAGGAGGAGGAGGCAGAAGGCUCAGAACUGCAAGGUCAUCCUAUGUUUCCGUCUCCAGGUUGUCUGCCUUGAGCUCCUGCCUGGCUUCCCUUUAUGAAGGCCUGUAAGCCUUUCCUCUCCUAAUUGGUUUUGAGAUUUAACUGACUGAGAAAACCUGCCCUGAAUGUGGGUGCCAGCAACCCAUGGGCUGGAGAGGUAGCCAGGUAGGUGGGGAGAGUACCUGCCUGACGCACCAAGCCCUCAGGUCCAUCCUCACCACCACAUAUACUGGGUGUGUGGCACGACAUUACUGCAAAUCCAGCUCUCUGCAGAUGGAGGCAAGAAGAUCAGAAGUUCAAUGUCCUCAACCACUUAGUGAAUUCAAGGCCAGCCUGAGAAGCACAAAAUCGUGUCUCAAGAAAGAAAAGAAGAUCUGGAGGGGACAGGAACUCCACAACAGGACCAACAGAGACAACUAACCCAGACUCAUGGGAGUUUACAGACUGAUACAUCAGCUAAGGAGCAUGCAUGGUUUAGACCUAGGCCCUGCACUUAUGUGGCCAGUGGGCAGCCUGGUCUUCCUGUGGGUCGUUUGUUGAGUCGGGGCACACAGGAGCUGUUUCUAACAUGGACUCUAUUACCUGCUUUUGGACCAUUUUACUUGGCAGAGCCGCCUUGCCUGGCCUCAGUGGAUGAGGAUAUGCUCAGUCCUGAUGUGACUUGAUGUGCUGGGAUGUGUAUAGGGAGAGGAGGUGGGAAAGGGAGAAGGGAAGAAGGAAGGAAGGAAGGGACGGAGGAACUGGGAAGAGAGGAGGAGAGGAGGAGGGCAC